rnacentral:rRNA from 1 species
GAUGAACGCUAGCGGCAGGCUUAAUACAUGCAAGUCGAACGGUAACAGGUCUUCGGACGCUGACGGGUGGCGCACGGGUGAGGAACACGUACACAAUCUACCUUAUACUGGAGAAUAGCCCCGGGAAACUGGGAUUAAUACUCCAUAGUCUUUAAUGAUCACAUGAGAAAUAAAGUAAAGCUUCGGCGGUAUAAGAUGAGUGUGCGUCCCAUUAGAUUGUUGGUGAGGUAACGGCUCACCAAGUCGACGAUGGGUAGCUGGCGUGAGAGCGCGACCAGCCACACUGGCACUGAGACACGGGCCAGACUCCUACGGGAGGCAGCAGUAGGGAAUAUUGGUCAAUGGACGAAAGUCUGAACCAGCCAUGCCGCGUGGAGGAUGACUGCCCUCUGGGUUGUAAACUCCUUUUAUAUGGGAAGAAACCUCUGGAUUCACUCCAGAGCUGACGGUAUCAUAUGAAUAAGCACCGGCUAACUCCGUGCCAG